AAGAACGCAGCUCUCAUUCUUCUUCUCAAAGACAACCAAAUUAGACCCUAAAUCGCUAAAAAUUCAAGCGAGUGUGCCUCGAUCUUGCCUCACGCGUUUUCCUUCUCUUCUCAUCACCAUAUUUGUAACAAUCUCUAACAGAUUCUCCCGCCCCAUCCCUUUCUCACGUGUUGGAAGCCUCUAGAAAGCAUAUGCUAGAUGAAUGUGGAGCAUGGGAUCGAUCCCAGCCCUUCAUUCAUCAGGUUGGUGACUGAUAAGUAGAGAGAACUUUGGAGGAUUUUUCAGAGAGAGGAUGGAGAGAAAAGGGCCAAGAGAGCGAGAUUUCUUAUCUCGAUUUUGUCUUCUGAUUUCUCGUGUUCGUUUGAUUGAUACAGAACCUUCAUUUUGAAUUUUCUUUUAGUUUCAAUUCCCGAAAAAUAAAAAAGGAUACAAAAGAAACAUAGUGGUUCGAUUUCUCUUGCACCUUUACUCCUCCAUUUUAUUUUGCUCUGGAUUUCUGGUGUCAAGUAUGGAAUUCGAGUGAGUCGUUUGGCGAUUUGUCCGAUCGAGGCUCGUUCAAGGUUGUUGGCUUCUUUUGCUUGGCUGCUGCGUGAUGCGAGUUUUCACUGCCAAAGUCCCUUUUAUUUUUGCCUAUGAAAUUAAUUGAAAUUUUGUGCAUCCAGGUUUAUUUCCUCUCCUGUACUACUUUGUUUAUAUGGUUUAAAACAUGGUUAGGAGAUUCAGGAUUGUUUGAGCUAAGAUUUAUGUGAUGUCGAUGUGAUAAGACGCAUUUUGAUAACUUUAUAGCUGGUAAAGCAUGAAUAUGCGACGCCUUUUAUUCUUCAAUGCUUGUUGUCUGUCCGGUAGUUUUUGAUUUGUUUGGAUUAAAGCGUGACUAGUUGUGUAUCGAUUAGCUGAAUUUAAUUCUGGUGACAUGCUCUUCGUGAUCUUUUAUGGUUGUUUAGUUUGCCCUUCUCAGCUGGAGCCUGAAAUAGGGCUGAAACGAGUGAUAUUUUUCUGCCUAGUGAAGGCCUGAUGCUCUAAAUUGGUUGCUGCCCCUUACCUUGUUUAUGUCCUUGUGCUAACUGAUAGUUCUGUUUGAUUUUUGUUCUUCCUUGAAUAGAAUUUGUUGGCAUCUCUUCUCAGCUUGCUUAGUUUAGUCUUGCUCUCCGUUUGUGAUUUAGAGUUGUAACUGUAAAGGAGAAAAACAGUUGGUGCUGGAAUUCAUGUGUCACAGCUAGAGUAAUUGCGAACAUUAACCGUUUGGUGUAAAUCCUAUGUGUUUGAGUUGAUAUUUUUGUAAACAUGAAAGUUUAAGCUUCAUGUUAUACCUUUCUAUUGCUGAAUCUGUCCUAAGUUUUGGCUAUGUUUUACAUUUGAAAUUAUCAGAACAUUGGUUCGAGCACUUGGUAUCCACUGAUUGUCUGUUCUACUCCCUAUUCAUUGUUUUCAAAUUGUGAGUGUGUCAUUCCGCUGUACUCAGCAUGAGCCACAAGAUUCAGGGCUUGUUUAAUGGUUCAGGAAAACCAUCAAGCUGUAUCAAGAAUGUGUGGUUGGUCCAGGAUGACCCUCAUUGCUAGCCUUGAUAUUCUCUUUUUGGAAAUUUAGCAUAUAGCUAGUCAUUGGUUGUGUUAAGCCUAACCUCGGUGUAAUUUGUUCAAGUAUCCUGAUGAGAAUCAGUUCACAGGAGAUUUUUGUGCUAUCUAUAAACUAAUACCUGUCCUGGAUUCUUUGUGAUUUAGUUGCUAAAUUCCAUUUCUUAUGAUAAGUUGAGUUAGUUUUGGUAUCAAGGAGACGUAAUACUCAUUAAGUUCAGAAUGUCAGUCCACGACUUGGUAGACUUUCAUCCAAAUCUCAUUGAAUUUUAUUUAUGUGACGUGGUAUGAGACAUGUUGCAAUGACGGAGUUGAAAUGUGUCAAAAAUCGCGAAUGCAUUUAUGUGACGUGGUUCGAGACAUGUUGCAACGACAUUACAAUUUCCUUUAAAAGAUAAUAAUAAAAGCGGUUGAAGGUUAAAAAGCUCAUAAAUCAAAACAUGAUCUAGAACCAGAUAAUUUAAGCCAAAUAUGACAGUAAGUUUUAUUAUUUUGAAAAUUGGUUUGGGCUAUCCAAGUCGAGCAGCAUUUGAAUUAGGAGGUCUUCGUCUUAUUCAAAUAUGGACUUGAACAUG
rnacentral:lncRNA from 1 species